ACCUAUCUCUAGUUUGUGUGUGAAUCUAAUUCAGGCCAUCCAUGUCAGGGCCCUACUAAUCCUAUCCCAUGGUGUUAGAUUCACGCACAAACUCGUGAUCUUUCU
rfam:Ricinus communis cultivar Hale ctg_1100012323973, whole genome shotgun sequence.